rnacentral:rRNA from 1 species
CAAUAGCGUAUAUUAAAGUUGUUGCAGUUAAAAAGCUCGUAGUUGGAUUUCUGGCAGGAGCAACCGGUCACUCACUCUGUGUGUGAACUUGUGUUGUCUCUGGCCAUCCUCGGGGAGAUCUUGUUUGGCAUUAAGUUGUCGGGCAGGGGAUACCCGUCGUUUACUGUGAGAAAAUUAGAGUGUUUAAAGCAGGCUUAUGCCGUUGAAUAUAUUAGCAUGGAAUAAUAAGAUAGGACUUCGGGACUAUUUUGUUGGUUUGCGUUACGAAGUAAUGAUUAAUAGGGACAGUUGGGGGUAUUCGUAUUUCGUUGUCAGAGGUGAAAUUCUUGGAUUUCCGAAUGACGAACUACUGCGAAAGCAUUUACCAAGGAUGUUUUCAUUAA